rnacentral:rRNA from 1 species
UACGUAGGGUGCGAGCGUUAAUCGGAAUUAUUGGGCGUAAAGCGUGCGCAGGCGGUUCGUUGUGUCGGCGGUGAAAGCCCCGGGCUCAACCUGGGAAUGGCCGUUGAAACUGGCGAACUGGAGUGUGGCAGAGGGGGGUGGAAUUCCGCGUGUAGCAGUGAAAUGCGUAGAGAUGCGGAGGAACACCGAUGGCGAAGGCAGCCCCCUGGGCUGACACUGACGCUCAGGCACGAAAGCGUGGGGAGCAAACAGG